rnacentral:rRNA from 16 species
ACCUAGAGAUGAGCUUGCGUCUGAUUAGCCUGUUGGUAAGAUAAUAGCUUACCAAAGCUAUAAUCAGUAGCUGGUCUGAGAGGAUAGACAGCCACACCGGAACUUAGAUACGGUCCGGACUCCUACGGGAGGCAGCAGUGAGGAAUUUUCCGCAAUGGGCGCAAGCCUGACGGAGCAAUACCGCGUGGAGGAUGAAAGCCUAUGGGUUGUAAACUCCUUUUCUUAGAGAAGAAGUUCUGACGGUAUCUAAAGAAUAAGCAUCGGCUAACUCCGUGCCAGCAGCCGCGGUAAUACGGGGGAUGCAAGCGUUAUCCGGAAUCAUUGGGUGUAAAGCGUCUGUAGGUUGUUUGUUUAAGUCAGUUGUUAAAUUUCAGAACUCAAUUUUGAUAACGGCAACUGAAACUAAUAAGCUAGAGUCAAGUAGAGGUAGAAGGAACUCCGAGUGUAGUGGUGAAAUGCGUAGAUAUUCGGAAGAACACCGAUGGCGAAAGCAUUCUGCUGGGCUUGUACUGACACUGAGAGACGAGAGCGAGGGGAGAGAAUGGGAUUAGAUACCCCAGUAUUCCUCGCCGUAAACGAUGGAUAUUAGAUAUUAGGUAAAUAUUUUUUAUUUAGUAUUGAAGCUAACGCGUUAAAUAUCCCACCUGGGGAGUAUGCUCGCAAGAGUGAAACUUAAAGGAAUUGACGGGGGCCCGCACAAGCGGUGGAGCAUGUGGUUUAAUUCGAUGCAACGCGAAGAACCUUACCAGGCCUUGACAUCCUUG